rnacentral:rRNA from 1 species
GAUGAACGCUGGCGGCGUGCUUAACACAUGCAAGUCGAACGAAGCACCUUGAUUUGAUUCUUCGGAUGAAGAUCUUGGUGACUGAGUGGCGGACGGGUGAGUAACGCGUGGGUAACCUGCCUCAUACAGGGGGAUAAAGGUAGAAAUGAAUGGUUAUACCGCAUAAGGCCAAGGCACCGCAUGGUUGAGGGGUUAAAAAUCCGGUGGUAUGCGGUGGACCCGCGUCUGAUUAGGUAGUUGGUGGGGUAACGGCCUACCAAGCCGACGAUCAGUAGCCGACCUGAGAGGGUGACCGGCCACAUUGGGACUGAGACACGGCCCAAACUCCUACGGGAGGCAGCAGUGGGGAAUAUUGCACAAUGGGGGAAACCCUGAUGCAGCGACGCCGCGUGAGCGAUGAAGUAUUUCGGUAUGUAAAGCUCUAUCAGCAGGGAAGAAAAUGACGGUACCUGACGAAGAAGCACCGGCUAAAUACGUG